rnacentral:rRNA from 1 species
AUUGAACGCUGGCGGCAGGCUUAACACAUGCAAGUCGAGCGGGGGAAGGUAGCUUGCUACUGGACCUAGCGGCGGACGGGUGAGUAAUGCUUAGGAAUCUGCCUAUUAGUGGGGGACAACAUCUCGAAAGGGAUGCUAAUACCGCAUACGUCCUACGGGAGAAAGCAGGGGAUCUUCGGACCUUGCGCUACUAGAUGAGCCUAAGUCGGAUUAGCUAGUUGGUGGGGUAAAGGCCUACCAAGGCGACGAUCUGUAGCGGGUCUGAGAGGAUGAUCCGCCACACUGGGACUGAGACACGGCCCAGACUCCUACGGGAGGCAGCAGUGGGGAAUAUUGGACAAUGGGGGGAACCCUGAUCCAGCCAUGCCGCGUGUGAAGAAGGCCUUAUGGUUGUAAAGCACUUUAAGCGAGGAGGAGGCUCUUCUGGUUAAUACCCAGGAUGAGUGGACGUUACUCGCAGAAUAAGCACCGGCUAACUCUGUGCCAGCCGCCGCCGUAA